AUUGAACGCUGGCGGCAGGCCUAACACAUGCAAGUCGAGCGAUCGGCGGACGGUUUAGUCAUGUUUGGGUAUCUGCCCGAUCUAGGGGGAUAACUCCUCUAAACGGUAUCUAAUCCCCCAUACUAUCCUAUGUACCCAUAUGGGUUUAUCUAGUAGGUGAGGUAAUGGCUCACCUAGGCGACGAUCCCUAGCUGGUCUGAGAGGAUGAUCAGCCACACUGGGACUGAGACACGGACAAGACUCCUACGGGAGGCAGAAGUGGGGAAUAUUGCACAAUGGGCGCAAGCCUGAUGCAGCCAUGCCGCGUGUAUGAAGAAGGCCCUAGGGUUGUAAAGUACGUUCAGUGGGGAGGAGUGAAAGAAAGAAGAAGCACAGGCUAACUCCGUGCCAGCAGCCGCGGUAAUAG
rnacentral:rRNA from 1 species